rnacentral:rRNA from 1 species
GACGAACGCUGGCGGCGUGCCUAAUACAUGCCAGUUGAGCGCUGAAGGUUGGUACUUGUACCAACUGGAUGAGCAGCGAACGGGUGAGUAACGCGUGGGGAAUCUGCCUUUGAGCGGGGGACAACAUUUGGAAACGAAUGCUAAUACCGCAUAAAAACUUUAAACACAAGUUUUAAGUUUGAAAGAUGCAAUUGCAUCACUCAAAGAUGAUCCCGCGUUGUAUUAGCUAGUUGGUGAGGUAAAGGCUCACCAAGGCGAUGAUACAUAGCCGACCUGAGAGGGUGAUCGGCCACAUUGGGACUGAGACACGGCCCAAACUCCUACGGGAGGCAGCAGUAGGGAAUCUUCGGCAAUGGACGAAAGUCUGACCGAGCAACGCCGCGGGGGUGAAGAAGGUUUUCGGAUCGUAAAACUCUGUUGGUAGAGAAGAACGUUGGUGAGAGUGGAAAGCUCAUCAAGUGACGGUAACUACCCAGAAAGGGACGGCUAACUACGUG